AAUUUCAUUGCCUCGCUCCUAUAAAUUCAAAUCCUUUUCCCCAAACUCUCGUAGUUCUGUCACCACAACUUGUUCAUUACGUUCAUAGCUGCUCCGAAUUACGGUUCCCCUGCAUCAUACAUUUCUGCUCUGAAAUUUGUGGUAUCCCCUUACGUGUCUGCAAGUAUUUUUAGUAGUAUUUAACUAGUGAGGUUAUGCCAUCUAUCACAUUGGUCAUAAAUUCUGACCGUGCACAACACAACUACAUAGAAGGCGUGAAUAGUUGUAGUUCUAAAUCAUCAAAUCCUGAAAAAAUAAAAUAUUUUAACAAUAAUUCUAAAUUCAAAGAUCAUUAAAAACAUUCGUUUAUAGAAAAUCAGUCAUAAUAUUUGAAUAUAAUAUUUUUGCAUUUUAAAUCGUAACUUAAAAGUUUUAAAUCAAACUUAGAACAAAAGUGGUUCUUUAUCCUGAAAAUGCAUAGAUGUUGUUGAGUAUGACUUUUGAGCUUAUUAGAGACAAACCAAAAGCAAACAAAGUUAAAAUCAUAAAGAAAGAAUGGAGACCUACAAAUUCUAUCUCAGUAUAACUCUCGAAAGGAUGUGAAAGUUAAAAAUUAAUCCGGAAAAUGAUUUGACAUGUGAAAAUUAAAAAUUAAUUUGGAAAAUGAUUUGUAUUUAAAACUCCAGAACUUAACUAAGUACAGGUUAAAAAUGAAAAAAAUAAUCUAUGUUGUUAAGUUAACUUCUAAAAAAAAAAAAUUGAGAUCUUGAUAAGAAAAAUUUUAUUCUUAUCUUUUGAAAAUAUUUUGCAACAAAACUUCAGGAAAAAAAAUGGGUUGGUAUUAUUUCAUUGAGCUAGUGCUUAAAGGGAAAUAUGAUUGUUUCUCAAUUUGUGUUAUUUUCAUUAUUUAAAGUAGUUAAUAUCUUUGACUUGUUUGGAAAAUUCAAGGAGUUCUCUCGUGGUUUGUGUUUGUUAAUUUUCCUGAGAUAUCUAAGGUGGAUUUUCUCCAGUGACUAAGUAGAGUGGCGAGACUAAGUUGUCAAGUAGAGUAUAAAAAUCUUGUCGCAUUGUAAUUUGUAAGUGAAAAAAGUGUGAUUAGUUAGAUACCAAACCAGGAUUAAUCAUAUGAUGCAAUCUUCUUUUACUUUAUUUUUAGUUUGAUUUUAUAACAUUCCACUUUUUAAAAUAGAUUAAUAAUAAAUUUUUCAAUUAAUUAAUUAGAGGAUAAAAAUAUUCUGAGUGAUUUGAUAAGAUAAUAUUGAAUAAUUAUCAAGUAUUUGUUUAGAUAUAUUAAUGGUGUUAGGCUUGUUUCACAUGUGAGAGAGUGAGAUCAUCGCUUUGAAGUGUAGGGUAAUUGUUAAGUAGUAAGAUUGACCUUCAAUCCUUAAGUUAUGUGCAUAUAUUUGUGGGUGAGGGAUUAAACUUGAACCUAGUGUAAUUUGUGUAAUAGAUGUUUUAAAUAUGUUAUAAAUGAGUAUUGAUGUGGGGAUUAUAAAACUUGUAUGUGAUCAUGAAUCUAUGAGUGCAUGUGCAUUCUUAGGGGAACGAAUGUAUCUAAAAACUUGAUUAGGAGUGAAUUCAUAAUAAUUGUAAAUUGCAUAACUAAAAUAUGGAUUAUUUAGACUACAGGAACCUCUUUUAACGAAUUAAAAUCGUAGGAGUCUUAUAUUUGAAAAAUCGCGAAUUAUGCAAAAAAAACUUGUUUACCUCAUUAGGUGAGGAAGCCCGAAAUACUUGUAGCAUUAUUGCCACUACGCGUGAGGGCUCCAAAGGUCCUCUAGAUGCAUCUCGUCGAGCACGGGGAGAUCAUGCAGGGCAUGAUUCCUUUCAAAAGCUCAUGGCCUCAUAUGUGUCAGGUGUAGAAUGUGUCUCAUCAGGCAUGACCUUGUUUUUGAACUUAGUUCUUAUGUGUGUAUGUACGAGAGAAUCUAUGUCCUUAAGUGAUUAUGUAAAGUGAUUAAUUAAUUAGUGACAAAACGUGAUGUGCUAUGAAUUAUAAGUGAUAAGUGAUUAUGCGUGGUAAAUGCAUUGAGUCUUGAAUCUCAUGCAGCACGUGCAUUUUUUUGUGAUGGGUACAAUGCGGAAUACAUCGUUAGUAAAGAUCCCCCUCUGUAAAAGCUUGGGAUUAGUUCUUGGGGAUAGUUUGGCUUGGAAAGCUUCAAUCUCGUCCAUUGUGUGCAUGAAGCAUAUCUUACGAGACUCAACUAUCCUAAUGAGAUCUUAGUAGUAUAUUCUUUGAGUGAGAGUGCUGAAAUGACUUGACUUGACAUGUACUCUUAGACUAAGGAUGAGUAUGCUUUCACUGGCACCACAUACAUAUAGUUUAGGAGAGUCUAAUCUAUGUAUGAUCAUAAUAUUUUGUUUGUGUUUAAAUUGUGUUUUGAUUGAUGCCAUGAUGGAAUGAGAUAUAAAAUGAGUUGAAGUUAUUA